UCGACACAGGUUUGUAGGUGGAGAAUAUUAAGGGGUAGAGAUAUUAUUUGUAAAGGAGAUCGGCAAGUUUUCUUCAUAUGUUAGAGGAGAGGAGGAACCAAUUAGUAUUUUUUAUUUUGGUAAAUUUUAUUUAAAGGGUGGCACAGAAUCGGAGGCCCUGACUGUUUACUUAAAACACAGACAUUUGCAAGGAUUAAUUUCUUUGUAUAGGUGUUGAAUUUUGCCCGAUGCCAUUAAUAUAAGGUUAAUAGGCGCUUUGCGUUUUUAUUUUCUAAAAAUCUGGUCAAUGGCGGUGUUAUCCUGAGGAUCCUAAGGUAGCAAAAUUAAUUGUCCAUUAAAUGUGGUCCCGACUGAAUAAAGUAACGAUGGUCUCACUGUCUCUACAAGUAUCUCAGUGAAAUGACUUAGCCGGAAGAUGCGCCUGCGUUCC
rnacentral:rRNA from 1 species